UACGGGGGGGGCAAGCGUUGUUCGGAAUUACUGGGCGUAAAGGGCGCGUAGGCGGUCUGUUAAGUCGGAUGUGAAAACUCUGGGCUCAACCCAGAGCCUGCAUCCGAAACUGGCAGGCUAGAGUUCUGGAGGGGGUAGCGGAAUUCCUGGUGUAGCGGUGAAAUGCGUAGAUAUCAGGAGGAACACCGGUGACGAAGGCGGCUACCUGGACAGAAACUGACGCUGAGGCGCGAAAGCUAGGGGAGCAAACAGG
rnacentral:rRNA from 1 species